UACAGAGGGGGCAAGCGUUGUUCGGAAUUACUGGGCGUAAAGGGCGCGUAGGCGGCCGCCUAAGUCAGACGUGAAAUCCCUCGGCUCAACCGGGGAACUGCGUCUGAUACUGGGUGGCUUGAAUCCGGGAGAGGGAUGCGGAAUUCCAGGUGUAGCGGUGAAAUGCGUAGAUAUCGGGAGGAACAUCUGUGGCGAAGGCGACUACCUGGACCAGCACUGACACUGAGGCACGAAAGCGUGGGGAGCAAACAGG
rnacentral:rRNA from 1 species